UAGAAAUCUUGUCAACUACUUGCCCUUUGGACUAAAAAAACCUAAGCUCUGCAUUUCCCUUGUUUUCAAAGAAAUUUCAUUAAAUGCUUGCCUGAAUACUUUUACCAGCUAGCUAGUUUAUUCUACCAAACAAGGAAAAGGCUUAUACUGUUUGAAGGAAAGGGGAAAAUUGUCUAUUCUUUCCUUCAACAUGAAAGAUAAUUGAAAAGGAGGAGAUUGGCUUUCUAAUCAGGUAAUUUGGAUAAGGAGUCACAUCUAACUUUUGUCCCCACUUCAAGAUCCAUUGUCACAGACCUUAUAGAGACUGUAACAAUCCCCUUUAGAAUACUCUUCCUUUUUGGUCUUUGACAAGCAUCGUGGUCUUGAAUUUUUUUCUCUUUAUCAGCACGUAUAUGCUUCAUUCACCAUUACCUCCAUCUUUACAUCCUUUUCCCCUUUCCAUCUUAUUGUUUUGAGUUUUGCUGCUAUUUGCUUUCUUUUGGUUUGUUUAUGAGACAGCUUCCCCCACUAAGCAGUCCUACUUGGCACGCUCCCUGUGCAGUUCAUAUUGGCCUGGAACACAUGAUCCUCUCUUUGUCUCUACUGACUAAAUUGUGGGGUUUUAAAUAUGUACUGUUGUACCCAGCUGUAUCUUGUCUUUAUUACAUAAUUCUGUGUGUGGUACAUGGUAGGUAUUAUAAAACUUUUCACUGAAUAAAUAACUGAAUAAAUUAAUGCUAAAUAAUUGGUAACAGGGAACUGGGAAAAAUGAGAUUUCUGACUAUAAAUACAGGAUUUCCAGAGCCCUUACAGUCAGUUAUUUUUUUCUGUUUGUCACAAGGAUAUACAUGGAAUUGAGGGUUUAUUAUGAAGAGUGACAUUGCCACAUUUUUGUGUCCUUCACAGGCCUCAUUUUUCACAGGCAGAAACAUCCUUUGAAAAAAAAAAGAAAAUUAAGAUCCAGCUUCACAUUUUCCCCUACAGAUGCUGUUCAGCUCAUGUGUGUGUAAUGGUCAGAGCUCCAACUGCCACCUUGGACUAGCAGACACUAUAAAAGCAUUCAAGAAGUGGCAAAGAAUUAAAGUCCCCCAGGAAUAGCCUUCAGCAAAUGACUGAUG